UACGUAGGUGGCAAGCGUUGUCCGGAUUUAUUGGGUUUAAAGGGUGCGUAGGCGGCUUUGUAAGUCAGUGGUGAAAUAUGGCAGCUCAACUGUCAAGGUGCCAUUGAUACUGCGGAGCUUGAGUACAGAUGAGGUAGGCGGAAUUGACGGUGUAGCGGUGAAAUGCUUAGAUAACGUCAAGAACACCUAUAGCGAAGGCAGCUUACUAGGCUGUAACUGACGCUGAGGCACGAAAGUGUGGGGAUCAAACAGG
rnacentral:rRNA from 1 species